rnacentral:misc_RNA from 1 species
GGACGGAGAAGAGGCGGGCAUGAUGUUGGUGUUCCAGAGAUCAACCCACAACCACCCUUAGUACAUCGGCGUCCCCGGUCACGCGAGCGGCGAAUCGGGCCAUGGCCGCUCCGCUGAGUACCCAGCCUCCAUCAUGGAGUCCUAGAGGGGAUAGAUGUGAGGGCAAGUCCGGCCACCAAGCAUGCCACGAGGGCGUAGAUCCUUUGAAAACAAAAACGACCAAGAACAAAUUAGAUCAACACAAACUAGUCAUGAAAUCCUUGAAGCAUUUGAAAUCACCCCCACCUCACCUCCAAAAUGGCAUCAAAUCGGUGUUGUUCCUUAGCACGGUUGUCGUGUACCUGGCCUCCAUCGUGGAGGGGAUAGAGGUGCUCCAAGCGUUCUCUUCGCCAAAACUCGGUCCGUCGAUG